UGGUAACUGGUGCCAUGACUGAAAGGAAAGUUCCUGCCCUCCAGCCAGCUGCUGCUGCUUCCUGAGACAGAGCGGGUUUGGUUUAGGGUUACCCUACGUCCGGUUGAUCCCACACACGUCCUCCUCUUCGGCCUUUACGUCUCCGGCCGGCCGGUAGGCGGCAGCCCAGGUCAGAGCAAAAUGCUGGGCAUGGACGUGCCGGACAGGUGGGCCCUGAAGUUGUCUCAAGUUCAGGACGGGAUGGGGCUCGACACGGCCCCGCAGAGUGAAAAGGGCACAUCAGGAGGAAGAAAACUGAAGAAGACCGGUGAAAGGAAGGACUCAGAACAUGUAAAGAGGAACAUUAAAAUUUGAAUAAUUAUAA